rnacentral:misc_RNA from 1 species
GAUGAAGAACGUAGCGAAAUGCGAUAAGUAAUGUGAAUUGCAGAAUUCAGUGAAUCAUCGAAUCUUUGAACGCACAUUGCGCCCCCUGGAAUUCCGGGGGGCAUGCCUGUUCGAGCGUCUCAGGGACGAACCCUCGCGCGGGUGUACGCGCGGUCGUGGCUGCGGUGGCGUGCCCGAGGCGGCGGCCACCGCGCUGGAAUCCAUGGGCGGACGCCUGCCGCGUGGCCGAGCGUGAUAUGACGCAUUGGCGCUCGCACGCGGCGAGGCUGCCAGCCCUGGCCCGUCUGUCGGGCGGGGGAGAGCAAGACACGUGAACUCCUCGAAUCAGGUAGGGAUACCCGCUGAACUUAAGCAUAUCAAAAGCGGAGGA